rnacentral:rRNA from 1 species
UCAGACGAUGCGUCAUGCAUAUCAAUAAGCGGAGGAAAAGAAACUAACAAGGAUUCCCUUAGUAACGGCGAGUGAAGCGGGAAGAGCUCAAAUUUGAAAUCUUCAAGGUUUUACCUUGACGAAUUGUAGUUUAAAGAAGUGUUUUCGGUUAGAGAGUUUGGUAAAAGUUCUUUGGAAUAGGACAUCAUAGAGGGUGAGAAUCCCGUAUUUGACCAUUAUUUUCAGCUGUGUGAUACACUUUCAAAGAGUCGGAUUGUUUGGGAAUGCAGUCCAAAAUGGGUGGUAAAUUUCAUCUAAAGCUAAAUAUUGGCGAGAGACCGAUAGCGAACAAGUACCGUGAGGGAAAGAUGAAAAGAACUUUGAAAAGAGAGUUAAACAGUACGUGAAAUUGUCAAAAGGGAAGCGUUUGACACCAGUGUUGUUUUUCUCGAAAAUCAAUUAAAAAGUAGAUUCAUGCAUGUUGUAUUGACCUUAUCAGCUUGCAAUUUGGUUUUGGGUUCUUUUUCGAUGCACUUUUCGGUUAACAAGUCAACAUCAAUUUCCUUUGCUGUAAAAGGGCAGAAGGAAGGUGGCUUCAAUUUCGGUUGAAGUGUUUAUAGCCUUUGAUCUCUGCAAUCGGAGAGAUUGAGGUCUGCAGCGUAGAUCCUUCGGGGUUAGAUACAUUUGUGCUAAGUUAUAGCCUUUCAUAGACAACUUGUUGACUAUGAUCAGUCAUGUAGCUUACUCGCUUAUGCUAUUUUACCUACGCUUAGGAUGUUGAUAUGCAUGACUGAUAU